GCCCCUAUAGUUUAAUGGAUAGAACAAGUCACUCCUAACGACUAAAUGAAAGUUCGAUUCUUUCUGGGGGCA
rnacentral:tRNA from 2 species